CUGACUGCUGCUUUUGCUGACAGCCAUUCACAUGUCUCUUCAGGACAGCUCAUGAAUCUACUUGCAGCUUCUUAGCUCCCAGUGCUGGCCCAGCAGACAGCAUCCCUUGGAAGGCCACAGGGAGGUGUGUGCUUUGCUCAGAUCCUGAACAGCCAAAGCGGUUUCUCACGUUGCAAGGCAGCACCCAGCAGCAGCCAGGUGCCACAAGGAACCAGCUCUCAGGCCUGGAUAUAUGCAUUUCAUCAGCCAUCUACUUUGGAGAGGAAUGGCAUAAAUUUCAACACAUCUGCUAUUUUUGCCUGCAAAAUAUUCAAAAUUGUUUCUGCAGAAGCUACGGGCAGCAGUGGGGGACAUUUAUUUAAAGAAACUUG
rnacentral:lncRNA from 1 species